rnacentral:rRNA from 1 species
AUUGAACGCUGGCGGCAUGCCUUACACAUGCAAGUCGAACGGCAUCGCGGGAAAGCUUGCUUUCCUGGCGGCGAGUGGCGAACGGGUGAGUAACACAUCGGAACGUACCGGCUAGUGGGGGAUAACCCGUCGAAAGACGGGCUAAUACCGCAUACGCUCUUCGGAGGAAAGCAGGGGACCUUUUGGCCUUGCGCUAGCCGAGCGGCCGAUGUCCGAUUAGCUAGUUGGUGGGGUAAAGGCCUACCAAGGCGACGAUCGGUAGCGGGUCUGAGAGGACGAUCCGCCACACCGGGACUGAGACACGGCCCAGACUCCUACGGGAGGCAGCAGUGGGGAAUCUUGGACAAUGGGGGCAACCCUGAUCCAGCAAUGCCGCGUGGGUGAAGAAGGCCUUCGGGUUGUAAAGCCCUUUCGGCAGGGAAGAAAUCGGCGGGGCGAAUAACCCUGCUGGAUGACGGUACCUGCAGAAGAAGCACCGGCUAACUACGUG